AUACUAACCUGGCAGGGGAGAUACCAUGAUCACGAAGGUGGUUUUCCCAGGGCGAGGCUUAUCCAUUGCACUCCGGAUAUGCUGACCCCUGUGAUUUCCCCAAAUGUGGGAAACCCGACUGCAUAAUUUGUGGUAGUGGGGGACUGCGUUCAUGCUCUUCUGCU
rnacentral:snRNA from 1 species